rnacentral:rRNA from 1 species
GACGUAGGGCGCGAGCGUUGUCCGGAUUUAUUGGGCGUAAAGAGCUCGUAGGCGGCUUGUCGCGUCGACCGUGAAAACUUGGGGCUCAACCCCAAGCCUGCGGUCGAUACGGGCAGGCUCGAGUUCGGUAGGGGAGACUGGAAUUCCUGGUGUAGCGGUGAAAUGCGCAGAUAUCAGGAGGAACACCGAUGGCGAAGGCAGGUCUCUGGGCCGAUACUGACGCUGAGGAGCGAAAGCCAGGGGAGCAAACGGG